CCUACGGGAGGCAGCAGUGAGGAAUAUUGGUCAAUGGACGCAAGUCUGAACCAGCCAUGCCGCGUGCAGGAAGACGGCUCUAUGAGUUGUAAACUGCUUUUGUACGAGGGUAAACGCAGAUACGCGAAUCUGUCUGAAAGUAUCGUACGAAUAAGGAUCGGCUAACUCCGUGCCAGAAGCCGCGGUAUUACGGAGGAUUCAAGCGUUAUCCGGAUUUAUUGGGGUUAAAGGGUGCGAAGGGGGUCGAAUAAGUAGAGGGGAAAGACCGAGGCUCAACUUCGGAAUUGCUUCUGAUACUGUUCGGCUAGAGAGUAGGUGCGGUAGGCGGAAUGUAUGGUGUAGCGGUGAAAUGCUUAGAGAUCAUACAGAACACCGAUUGCGAAGGCAGCUUACCAAGCUACUUCUGACGUUGAGGCACGAAAGCGUGGGGAGCAAACAGGAUUAGAUACCCUUGUAGUC
rnacentral:rRNA from 1 species